GACGAACGCUGGCGGCGUGCUUAACACAUGCAAGUGGAGCGACGAACCGGGGCUUGCCCCGGGGCAGAGCCGCGAACGGGUGAGUAACACGUGGGUAACCCACCCCGAUGACCGGGACAACCCGAGGAAACUCGGGCUAAUACCGGAUGUGCUCCUUGUCCUUGAGGACAAGGCGUAAAGAUAGCUUCGGCCUUCGCAUCGGGACGGGCCCGCGGCCCAUUAGCUUGUUGGUGGGGUAACGGCCUACCAAGGCGACGAUGGGUAGCUGGUCUGAGAGGACGAUCAGCCACACUGGGACUGAGACACGGCCCAGACUCCUACGGGAGGCAGCAGUGGGGAAUCUUGCACAAUGCGCGAAAGCGUGAUGCAGCAACGCCGCGUGGGGGAAGAAGGCCUUCGGGUUGUAAACCCCUUUCAGUUGGGACGAAGCUUCGCCGGUGAAUAGCCGGCUGGAGUGACGGUACCUUCACAAGAAGCCCCGGCUAACUACGUGCCAGCCGCCGCGGUAAUAC
rnacentral:rRNA from 1 species